UACGUAGGGGGCGAGCGUUGUCCGGAUUUACUGGGCGUAAAGGGCGCGUAGGCGGCGCGGUAAGUCACUUGUGAAAUCUCUGAGCUUAACUCAGAACGGCCAAGUGAUACUGCAGUGCUAGAGUGCAGAAGGGGCAAUCGGAAUUCUUGGUGUAGCGGUGAAAUGCGUAGAUAUCAAGAGGAACACCUGAGGUGAAGACGGGUUGCUGGGCUGACACUGACGCUGAGGCGCGAAAGCCAGGGGAGCAAACGGGAUUAGAUACCCGAGUAGUCC
rnacentral:rRNA from 1 species